UACGGAGGGUGCAAGCGUUAAUCGGAAUUACUGGGCGUAAAGCGCACGCAGGCGGUUGGAUAAGUUAGAUGUGAAAGCCCCGGGCUCAACCUGGGAAUUGCAUUUAAAACUGUCCGGCUAGAGUCUUGUAGAGGGGGGUAGAAUUCCAGGUGUAGCGGUGAAAUGCGUAGAGAUCUGGAGGAAUACCGGUGGCGAAGGCGGCCCCCUGGACAAAGACUGACGCUCAGGUGCGGAAGCGUGGGGAGCAAACAGG
rnacentral:rRNA from 1 species